GUUAGCUUGAGACCUUGUUUGUCAAAAGCAUGUUUUAUGACCUUAAAGAGUAAUGAUCUCAAGGUUACCUUGAAAGGGUCACUUACAUGCAUACUUUCCAGAGGUCGCUGGUGAAAUUACGGUUUCCAAUAGAGCGGAGAGAGCAACUGUUCGGAAUGCCUAGCUGAACGAAUGCAUGCUACAGGCUGCGCGACAACCUUGUCAUGAAGGGCCAACUUCUGCGGUCGUUGCGCUGACAGCCACGAAAGAAGCCGUAUCACCGUGGCUUUCGUAUGAAGAUUUGAUAUGAGCUUCUUAACAAGAGCUUGUGCUGUGUUGGAAGGUGGCUAUGAUCACGCAUAGGGUGUGUCAUGUUAACCUCUCACGAGUUGUACGCCUUCUUGCGCAUGUGGGGAGCUUCACAGCCUACAGUGACGAAGCCAACUGUGAGUUUGUUCCAUGUAUUUGCUAUUUAAACGACGCCAAUCAUCAUUAUUAUAUUGAGCGGUUGGUUAGUUUGGAAUGCACCGCUCACGUAAGUCUUAACUUAAGGCAUAAAUGGCAUAAUACUUGCCUGAAAAUAAAUGAAAUGUAUUGAUGGGU